rnacentral:rRNA from 1 species
UACAGAGGUCUCAAGCGUUGUUCGGAUUCAUUGGGCGUAAAGGGUGCGUAGGCGGCGCGGUAAGUCGGGUGUGAAAUCUUGGAGCUUAACUCCGAAACUGCAUUCGAUACUGCCGUGCUUGAGGACUGGAGAGGAGAGUGGAAUUUACGGUGUAGCGGUGAAAUGCGUAGAUAUCGUAAGGAAGACCAGUGGCGAAGGCGGGUCCCUGGACAGUUCCUGACGCUGAGGCACGAAGGCCAGGGGAGCAAACGGG